AGAAACAUCUAUGUGGAAGAUCUGAUCGAAGAGGUGGUUGUUAAUCCAGAGCAAGUCAUGGAAUGGCUCAGGAAAGGAGAAAAAAAACGACACUAUGGAGAAACAAAAAUGAAUGAACACAGCAGCCGUUCUCACACCAUUUUCAGAAUGAUUAUAGAAAGUAGGGAAAAUGACCCUGCCAACACGAACUGUGAUGGAGCAGUAAUGGUAUCUCAUCUGAACUUGGUAGAUCUGGCAGGCAGUGAAAGAGCUAGCCAAACAGGAUCAGAAGGU